rnacentral:rRNA from 1 species
UACGUAGGGUCCGAGCGUUGUCCGGAAUUAUUGGGCGUAAAGAGCUCGUAGGCGGUUUGUCGCGUCUGCUGUGAAAUCCCGAGGCUCAACCUCGGGUCUGCAGUGGGUACGGGCAGACUGGAGUGCGGUAGGGGAGAAUGGAAUUCCUGGUGUAGCGGUGGAAUGCGCAGAUAUCAGGAGGAACACCGAUGGCGAAGGCAGUUCUCUGGGCCGUAACUGAUGCUGAGGAGCGAAAGCGUGGGGAGCGAACAGG